rnacentral:piRNA from 1 species
UAUAUGGAAGAAACCCAGGAAGGUGCUUGG